rnacentral:rRNA from 1 species
CGGCGGACGGGUGAGUAACACGUGGGUAACCUACCUAUAAGACUGGGACAACUUCGGGAAACCGGAGCUAAUACCGGAUAAGAUAUCGAACCGCAUGGUUCGAUAGUGAAAGAUGGUUUUGCUAUCACUUAUAGAUGGACCCGCGCCGUAUUAGCUAGUUGGUGAGGUAACGGCUCACCAAGGCAACGAUACGUAGCUGACCUGAGAGGGUGAUCGGCCACACUGGAACUGAGACACGGUCCAGACUCCUACGGGAGGCAGCAGCC